rnacentral:rRNA from 1 species
AACGAACGCUGGCGGCAUGCCUAAUACAUGCAAGUCGAACGAGAUCUUCGGAUCUAGUGGCGCACGGGUGCGUAACGCGUGGGAAUCUGCCCUUGGGUUCGGAAUAACAGCGGGAAACUGCUGCUAAUACCGGAUGAUGACGUAAGUCCAAAGAUUUAUCGCCCAGGGAUGAGCCCGCGUAGGAUUAGGUAGUUGGUGGGGUAAAGGCCUACCAAGCCUACGAUCCUUAGCUGGUCUGAGAGGAUGAUCAGCCACACUGGGACUGAGACACGGCCCAGACUCCUACGGGAGGCAGCAGUAGGGAAUAUUGGACAAUGGGGGCAACCCUGAUCCAGCAAUGCCGCGUGAGUGAUGAAGGCCUUAGGGUUGUAAAGCUCUUUUACCCGGGAUGAUAAUGACAGUACCGGGAGAAUAAGCCCCGGCUAACUCCGUGCCAGCCGCCGCCGUAA